rnacentral:tRNA from 1 species
UCCCUGGUGGCUCAGAUGGUAAAGAAUCUGCCUGCAAUACAGGAAACCCAGUUUCAAUCCCUGGCUCGGGAA